rnacentral:tRNA from 1 species
UGGCUUAUACAUAAUUUUCUUACGGUAAGGCAUCGCACUUUGACUGCGACAUGCGUUGGUUCGAAUCCAGCUAGCCCAGCCA